CGGUAAGCAGGGUAUGCGGGCGCGUACGGGCCCGGGCCAAUCAGGGGCCCCAAAAAAAAAAAAAAAAAACAUUACUCCAUACCCCCCCUGCCAUAUUAAUAGACACGUUGAAUGUUAUCGUUAUGAUUCUGGAAUCCCGCACGGAGUAAAUUCGCAAAAUGGGAGAUGGAAACACAUUUUGCGAAUCAGCUGUAGCGAACUUUGAACACACAGGACUGAUAGUCUUUCCGAUUUCCGCAUAACGACCGGCCAUAGCAACCCUGCCGACAUCAACGUGUAACGUCAUCACCCUAUUCCGCUCCAACCACUUGAUGGAAAAGCACCUAAUUCCAAAAAAAAUUUUGCGAACUUUCUAAAGAUUCGCAUCACCUUUAAGAUGGAAACGCAGCUACUGUUACCCCUUAUGGGUUUUUCAUGACGACAGAUAAAAAACGACAGUUUUUUUUACGUUUCAUUGGAUAAAAACGACAGUGUUACCCCUUGUGUUUUUUUCCCAUGAUGACUGAUGAAAAACAACAGUGUUACCCCUUAUAUUUUAUUUGACAAAGACAACAGUGUUACCCUUUGUGUUUUUUUUCAUGACGACCAAUAAAAAACAACAGUGUUACCCCUUAUGUUUUUUUUCAUGACGACCAAUAAAAAACAACAGUGUUACCCCUUAUGUUUUCUUUCAUGACGACCAAUAAAAAACAGCAGUCUUACCCCUUAUGUUUUUUUUCAUGACGAACAAUAAAAAUGACAGUGUUACCCCUUAUGUUUUUUUUCAUCGCAACCAAUAAAGAAUGAGUGUUACCCCUUGUGAUUUUUUUCAUGACGACAAAAGAAAAACAACAGUGUUACCCCCUAUGUUUUAUUUGAUAAAUAUUGACAGUGUUACCCCUUAUGUUUUUUCCAUGUUGACCAAUAAAAAACAACAGUGUUACCCCUUAUGUUUUUUUCAUGACGACCAAUAAAAAACAACAGUGUUACCCCUUAUGUUUUUUUUCAUGACGACCAAUAAAAAAAGGAACAGUGUUACCCCUUAUGUUUUUAUUCAUGACGA
ensembl:lncRNA